GAUGAAGAACGCAGCGAAAUGCGAUAAGUAAUGCGAAUUGCAGAAUUUCCGUGAGUCAUCGAAUCUUUGAACGCACAUUGCGCCCACUGGUAUUCCGGUGGGCAUGCCUGAUCGAGCGUCAUUAUCCUCCCUCAAACCUCGGGUUUGGUGUUGGACCCAAGUUGUGUGAACAACUGGUCUCAAAGACAAUGACGGCGUCCGUGGGACCCUCGGUGCAACGAGCUUUUAGGAGCACGCGUCGAGUUUCAAGGACCUUCCGGGCCGGUCUCCUUUACUAUUUUUACAAGGUUGACCUCGGAUCAGGUAGGAAUACCCGCUGAACUUAAGCAUAUCAAUAAGCGGAGGA
rnacentral:misc_RNA from 1 species